rnacentral:rRNA from 1 species
AUUAGCUAGUUGGUGAGGUAACGGCUCACCAAGGCGACGAUCUCUAGCUGGUCUGAGAGGAUGAUCAGCCACACUGGGACUGAGACACGGCCCAGACUCCUACGGGAGGCAGCAGUGGGGAAUAUUGGACAAUGGGGGCAACCCUGAUCCAGCCAUGCCGCGUGUGUGAAGAAGGCCUUCGGGUUGUAAAGCACUUUCAUUGGUGAGGAAGGAUGUUAAGUUAAUACCUUAAUAUAUUGACGUUAACCAAAGAAGAAGCACCGGCUAACUCCGUGCCAGCAGCCGCGGUAAUACGGAGGGUGCGAGCGUUAAUCGGAAUUACUGGGCGUAAAGGGCAUGCAGGCGGUUACAUAAGUCAGGUGUGAAAUCCCCGCGCUUAACGUGGGCAUUGCAUUUGAAACUAUGUAGCUAGAGUUCUGUAGAGGGGGGUAGAAUUCCAGGUGUAGCGGUGAAAUGCGUAGAGAUCUGGAGGAAUACCGAUUGCGAAGGCAGCCCCCUGGACAGUGACUGACGCUCAUAUGCGAAAGCGUGGGGAUCAAACAGGAUUAGAUACCCUGGUAGUCCACGCUGUCAACGAUGUCGAUUUGGAGGUUGUGGCUAUAAGCUGUGGCUUCCGAAGCUAACGCGUUAAAUCGACCGCCUGGGGAGUACGGCCGCAGGGUUAAAACUCAAAUGAAUUGACGGGGGCCCGCACAAGCGGUGGAGCAUGUGGUUUAAUUCGAUGCAACGCGAAGAACCUUACCUACUCUUGACAUCCAGCGAAUCCUGUAGAGAUACGGGAGUGCCUUCGGGAACGCUGAGACAGGUGCUGCAUGGCUGUCGUCAGCUCGUGUUGUGAAAUGUUGGGUUAAGUCCCGCAACGAGCGCAACCCUUAUCCUUUGUUGCUAGCGGUUCGGCCGAGAACUCAAAGGAGACUGCCAGUGAUAAACUGGAGGAAGGUGGGGAUGACGUCAAGUCAUCAUGGCCCUUACGAGUAGGGCUACACACGUGCUACAAUGGGGUACACAAAGAGAGGCGAGCUCGCGAGGGUAAGCGGAACUCAUAAAGUACCU